rnacentral:rRNA from 1 species
UACGUAGGUGGCAAGCGUUGUCCGGAUUUACUGGGCGUAAAGAGCGCGCAGGCGGUCGUGCAAGUCGCGUGUGAAAGCCCCCGGCUCAACUGGGGAGGGUCACGCGAUACUGCUCGACUUGAAGGCAGGAGAGGGAAGUGGAAUUCCCGGUGUAGUGGUGAAAUGCGUAGAUAUCGGGAGGAACACCAGUGGCGAAGGCGGUUGCCUGGAGCUUUGCUGACGCUGAUGCGCGAAAGCGUGGGGAGCGAUCCGG